GGGUGAGUAACACGUGAGUAACCUGCCCUUGACUUUGGGAUAACUUCAGGAAACUGGGGCUAAUACCGGAUAGGAGCUCCUGCUGCAUGGUGGGGGUUGGAAAGUUUCGGCGGUUGGGGAUGGACUCGCGGCUUAUCAGCUUGUUGGUGGGGUAGUGGCUUACCAAGGCUUUGACGGGUAGCCGGCCUGAGAGGGUGACCGGCCACAUUGGGACUGAGAUACGGCCCAG
rnacentral:rRNA from 1 species